ACUCCUACGGGAGGCAGCAGUGAGGGAUAUUGCACAAUGGGGGAAACCCUGAUGCAGCGACGCCGCGUGGGUGAUGAAGGCUUUCGGGUCGUAAAACCCUUUUUGGCAUGACGAGAACGGACGGUAGUGCCAGAAUAAGUCUCGGCUAACUACGUGCCAGCAGCCGCGGUAAAACGUAGGAGGCAAGCGUUAUCCGGAGUUACUGGGCGUAAAGGGUGCGUAGGCGGCUCAUCAAGUGGGACGUGAAAGCUCACGGCUAAACUGUGAGAGGACGACUCAGACUGAAGGGCUAGAGGGUGUCAGAGGCGUGCGGAAUUCGGGGUGUAGCGGUGAAAUGUGUAGAGAUCCCGAGGAACACCAGUGGUGCAAACGGCGCGCUGGGACACAACUGACGCUGAAGCACGAAAGCGUGGGGAGCGAACGGGAUUAGAGACCCCGGUAGUCCACGCCGUAAACGAUGUCAACUAGGUGUCUGCAAGGGGAAACCUGAGUGGGUGUCAAAGCUAACGCGAUAAGUUGACCGCCUGGGGAGUACGGUCGCAAGGCUAAAACUCAAAGGAAUUGACGGGGGCCCGCACAAGCAGCGGAGCGUGUGGUUUAAUUCGAGGCUACGCGAAGAACCUUACCUGGGUUUGACAUCACGGUGGUAGGGCGACGAAAGUCAACCGACCUUCGGGAGCCGUGACAGGUGCUGCAUGGCUGUCGUCAGCUCGUGUCGUGAGAUGUUCGGUUAAGUCCGAAAAUGAGCGCAACCCUCGGCGUUAGUUACACGUGUCUAACGCGACCGCCCUCGAGAAGGGGGAGGAAGGUGGGGAUGACGUCAAGUCAGCAUGGCCUUUAUAUCCAGGGCUACACACACGCUACAAUGGGGGACACAAUGGGCAGCGAAGGGGCGACCUGGAGCCAAUCCACCAAAGUCUUUCGUAGUUCGGAUUGCAGGCUGCAACUCGCCUGCAUGAAGCUGGAGUUGCUAGUAACCGUGCAUCAGCUACGGCACGGUGAAUACGUUCCCGGGCCUUGUACACACCGCCCGU
rnacentral:rRNA from 1 species